rnacentral:rRNA from 1 species
GAUGAACGCUAGCUACAGGCUUAACACAUGCAAGUCGAGGGGCGGGCGCACGGGGGAGUAACCCGUCUCCCCCCUGCCCUUUACUCGGGGAUAGCCUUUCGAAAGAAAGAUUAAUACCAGAUAGAAAGGAUGGGGAUGCGUUGCAUUAGGUUGUUGGUGAGGUAACGGCCCACCAAGCAUUCGCUGGAUAGGGGGUCGGAGAGGAAGCUCCCCCAGAGUGGAACUGGGCCACGGUCCAAACUCCUACGGGAGGAAGCAGUGAGGAAUAUUGGUCAAUGGGCGUUAGCCUGAACCAGCCAAGUAUCGUGAAGGAUCAAGGCGUAGGGGUCGCAAACUUCUGUUAUAUAAGAAUCUGUAUUAUAAGAAGAAGCAUCGGCUAACUCCGUGCCAGCAGCCGCGGUAAUAC